GUCUUCCUCUCUUUGUCACAUUGCUAGCCAGUGCUGCUCUGGUCUAAGCUGAUUCAUGUGGAGGAGGAAGGUAUUAUUCUUUUCGCUAACCUACAGCAAAAUGACUGCUCACUCUGACCCCCCGCCCACUCCUCCCCAAACCAUCUGACUGGCAUUUUAGAGGCUUGCCCACAUAAUUUGCUUUGGCCAGUGAGAUGUCAGCAAACUUGACGUCAGUUCAGUAAGCGUUUGCACAUUGGAACUUCGCUACCACCAUGUUAGGAAGUCCAGGGAGCUGACUUGAGAAUGGAAGACAUGGAGAGAAAGGACUAGACGCCCAGCUGUCUCGACUGGGCCCAAACCUCUGAGACCUGCAGCCAAGUGCGGCACCACGAGUGAGCCCAGGAUGUGGUUUAUGCCAGUUUCUCUCUCCCAGGAGACAGCCCGCAUCACACAACAUUUCACUCAGCUGUGUGGCUGAGCACUGACAAACUCAAUUUACAGAAGGCAAGAGUGAGUUGACACCAUGCUGUGGCAGUUGUCCUGAUGGAAGGAAACGACUCAUUUCAUUCCAAGGUAGAACCCACCUUCUCUGAGAAGCGUGCUUGUGCACGAGUGUAUAGAAGACACGGAGGUAAGGAAAGCCUCUUGGCUGACACAAAGCAAAAUCCCUGCCGUGGAAGAAAUGCUGAGAACCAAAUUUGGUUUCUGGGCUUAAAAAGGAAAACCAGCUAUUGCCUUUGUAGGCACAACAGGCUGCUAUUAUCUUUACCAAACAUUUAGUGAGGGAUAACUAUGGAUGAAAAAAGGGAAGAGCCCAGAAGUAGAGGAAACAGUCUCUCCCAUCUGGAGCUUACAAUUUAAAUGAGAGGCAAGAGAUAUACAUAAUACAUAAGCUAGGGUAUGAGGCAGAUGGGCUAAGUCCUGAAUGAGAAGCAUAGACCAAAAGAGCACUGGGAGUUCAGAGCUCUGUGUUAUGGAGAGUUUGGGGAAAGCUUUUCUGGGGAGGUGGACUUAAAUAAAAACAGUUCCCUGGCCAUUCAAUGUUCCAUAUUAUCAAAAGAGAGUAAGAGAGAGUAGGAGGAAUUGCAGAGAGAAGAGAGGCAGGCAUUAGCAAAGAUGCAGAGAUGUGAAGUGAAUAAGAGGGUCCGUGUUCAUGAUAAAUUAUUUUCCUUUUAUAUUAAAGUCUCUUCUCCAAUUGAUGGCAUCAUUUCUAUUUCAAAUAUCAGUGUGCUAUUUGCUUAACAGCCAAAGGCACUGCAGAUGAAUAUAUCUGAAUCUUACUAAGAUACUGUACAGGAGAUGCAAGAGGUCUGAAAGGAAAUCAGAGAGGAAGGAAGGAAGGAAGGAAGGAAGGAAGGAAGGAAGGAAGGCAGGCAGGCAGGCAGGCACUGUUCACGGCCUUGGCAUUACAUGUUUUCUUUAAAUCAAACAAAUUGCUUAUAGAUAGGCCUUGUGCCUGUGCCAUAAUUUUAAGUUUGGUUUUCUCUGAUGAAGACAAAAAAAAAGAGCAGAAUUUCUCCGAAGUGUUAUGAAACAUAGCACAUUACCAGGAAAGGGAGUAAAGCAGCUUAUAUCCCAAGUCAUCUGUGCCUGAUAUUCAAGGUGUGUAAGUCAAGGACAGUACUCCCUUUGCAGUUUUAGCAUUAUGUAAUGGUAUGAUGAUGAUUGGUGGUUUUCUUACCUCUGAGUUACCCCCUCUCACACACACCAAUCUAGCUUUCUUUUCGUUAGUUAUAUAGCCUUAGUACCAAGCUCUUCCUCGUGUCUCUUUCAACCAGACCUGGGCUGUCAGCGCCAUCAUAUUCUAUUAUAAUAAGGCCCAGAUAUAUCUCUGCCUGAUUGGCCAGCCCCUAGGCAUGAAAGUGUUACAGACCACAGUUGUGCCCAGGCACUUUUCGCAUUAAGAAUAAGAGUCAUUUUGUUUACAUUUUAUCCUAUGUGGCUGCUCUUCAUAGAAAAAAAAUGUCUUUCUGCUUUACAAACAAUUCUCGAUCAAAAAACAACUAAGAUUAACAUUACCGUUGAGGAGGUUAAAGUGUCGGUAAUUUUAUGCAGGUUAUUUCUUUUCCUAAAGCAAAUAAUCAUCAAUUGUUCGUUUUAGAACUACAUUGUGAUUUAUUGGAAGAAUAACAACUCAUUAGAAUUACUAAAUUCCCAAACAUUCAAAAGAGAAAGAAAGAAGGUGAUAGUCUUUAUGGGGUUGGAGGGAGUAUGGUUCUGAGGUUAAAAAAGAAAAACAGCCAACAAAACCCCUUUACUUUUGUCCUCGUGCAUUUUUUUUUAAAUAGAAGAAAGCUACCCUGCGUUUCCUGUCCCCAAGCCACUAGUUAGCUAUGUAAAACACAAACAGGGUCUGUAUUUUGCUGCAUUUGAGAAAGAUGUAAAUGUGUAAAUAUGAUGGAAGAGGUUUUAUUUCCUUUCCCCCUCUCAGGAAUGGUCUGACAGCCCCAGGCUUGAGAAUGUGUCUCUCCCAAGUACUCUGUCACCCUGGUAACCAUGGAGACUAUGACGAUCGAUUAGAUGCCAUCUGAUCUCAACCUCAUAAAAAAAAAGGCAGCAGAUGGCAACCAGGCCACUAGACCUGUCUCAAGAGAGGCGCAGAGGAAGAGAGAGAAAGGGAAGGAAGGAGGGAGAAAGGAGGGGGGGUGAGUUGGUGCAAGUAGAAUACAGUACAGAAGCAGCUCUGGAAAUGAAAAUUUUUAAAAAGAGUGCAGAUAGAAACAGAAAACAAGGAAAGUGGAAGUCAGGGAAAGAGGAGAUGGAAUGGAAAAAAUGAAACUAAAACCCAACUGUGCAUCUAUAGUGAGUUGUAGGAAGAAAAUUCGAUAAAGAAAGCAAAUCUGCUAUCUCCUACUUUCCACCUGUGUGUCUAGGUCUCAAACGGUUAUACAGAGUGGUGCGGAACCCGGGCCUCAGUGCUCUUCUGAGGGACACUCACAAGUCUGUCCUUGUGGCCCUCAGAAUCAGUGGAAUUUCAUGUAUCCGAAAAACAAUUCUAAGACCUAGUUCUCAAAGUGAUACAGAUCGGACGAGAGUGUCCCUGAUCAAAUGAGACCUUUCAGAGGACUGAAUGGGUGAAUACCUGAGUUAUUUGUCAACUCAUCCCCAGCAGUGUUCUAGUUACUCCUUAAAGAAAGAAGCAAUAACUAGGUCAGUAGAUACCCAAGGUGAAAAUAAGACAGGAGCAAUUAAGUCAGUGCUGGUAACCUACGAGUCUUGGCCAGUGUCCCAGAGCAAUGCAAAGGCUAAUAUUUGUGAAAUGUUUAUGGUGUGUCAGACACUGUGCUAAGCACUGAAUAUGGAAUAUUUAAUUUGAUCCCGAUAACAGGUAUAAAUGCAAUUAUUAUACCCAUUUUACAGACAUGCCCUGAAUCUUAGAGUUGAUUACCUUCACUAAGGGCACACCUCGAAAGCAAUAUAUGUAUCUUAUAGCUUAUUUGUGUAGGGAGUUGGCUUGGUCUCUCUUGUUCUUUUUUCCUUUUUAAAUUUUCAACUUUUUGCAGAUUACAAAAAUAGAACAUGUCCAAUGUAGAAAACUGUUUAAGGCAAGAGAAAACAAAGAAAAACUACCUACAAUCCCAUUAGUCAGAGAUAAGCAUGAUAAACAUAUGAAUUAUAUAGUGUACAGCAUUUUCUAUGGAUAUAUAUGUAUGU